rnacentral:rRNA from 1 species
GACGAACGUUGGCGGCGUGCCUUACACAUGCAAGUCGUACGCGAAAGGGUGAACCGGCUUGCCGGGGAUCCCCGGUAGAGUGGCGAACGGGAGCGUAACACGUGAGGAACCUGCCUUGGAGUGGGGAAUAACCCAGAGAAAUCUGGGCUAAUUCCGCAUGAUGCAUCGGACCCGCAUGGGUACCGUUGUUAAAGAUCGCCUCUGCUUGCAAGCGAUCGCUUCGAGAUGGCCUCGCGGCCUAUCAGCUAGUUGGUGAGGUCAC